rnacentral:rRNA from 1 species
AUUGAACGCUGGCGGCAUGCCUUACACAUGCAAGUCGAACGGUAACAGGUCUUCGGAUGCUGACGAGUGGCGAACGGGUGAGUAAUACAUCGGAACGUGCCUAGUAGUGGGGGAUAACUACUCGAAAGAGUGGCUAAUACCGCAUGAGAUCUACGGAUGAAAGCAGGGGAUCGCAAGACCUUGUGCUACUAGAGCGGCCGGUGGCAGAUUAGGUAGUUGGUGGGAUAAAAGCUUACCAAGCCGACGAUCUGUAGCUGGUCUGAGAGGACGAACAGCCACACUGGGACUGAGACACGGCCCAGACUCCUACGGGAGGCAGCAGUGGGGAAUUUUGGACAAUGGGCGCAAGCCUGAUCCAGCAAUGCCGCGUGCAGGAUGAAGGCCUUCGGGUUGUAAACUGCUUUUGUACGGAACGAAAAGCCCUGGGUUAAUACCCUGGGGUCAUGACGGUACCGUAAGAAUAAGCACCGGCUAACUACGUGCCAGCCGCCGCCGUAAUAC